AUUGAACGCUGGCGGCAGGCCUAACACAUGCAAGUCGAACGAGUGGCGGACGGGUGAGUAAUGUCUGGGAAACUGCCUGAUGGAGGGGGAUAACUACUGGAAACGGUAGCUAAUACCGCAUACCAUCAGAUGUGCCCAGAUGGGAUUAGCUUGUUGUUGGGGUAAAGGCUCACCAAGGCGACGAUCCCUAGCUGGUCUGAGAGGAUGACCAGCCACACGGGAACUGAGACACGGUCCGGACGCCUACGGGAGGCAGCAGUGGGGAAUAUUGGACAAGGGGGGAAAGCCUGAUGCAGCCAUGCCGCGUGUAUGAAGAAGGCCUUCGGGUUGUAAAGUACUUUCAGCGGGGAGGCGUUACCCGCAGAAGAAGCACCGGCUAACUCCGUGCCAGCCGCCGCGGUAAUUC
rnacentral:rRNA from 1 species